AAUGUCUUGUUAGCUACACUAUAU
rnacentral:siRNA from 1 species